GACGAACGCUGGCGGCGUGCCUAAUACAUGCAAGUAGAACGCACAGUUUAUACCGUAGCUUGCUACACCAUAGACUGUGAGUUGCGAACGGGUGAGUAACGCGUAGGUAACCUGCCUGGUAGCGGGGGAUAACUAUUGGAAACGAUAGCUAAUACCGCAUAAUAUUGAUUAUUGCAUGAUAAUUAAUUGAAAGGUGCAAUUGCACCACUACCAGAUGGACCUGCGUUGUAUUAGCUAGUAGGUGAGGUAACGGCUCACCUAGGCGACGAUACAUAGCCGACCUGAGAGGGUGAUCGGCCAUACUGGGACUGAGACACGGCCCAGACUCCUACGGGAGGCAGCAGUAGGGAAUCUUCGGCAAUGGACGAAAGUCUGACCGAGCAACGCCGCGUGAGUGAAGAAGGUUUUCGGAUCGUAAAGCUCUGUUGUAAGAGAAGAACGGGUGUGAGAGUGGAAAGUUCACACUGUGACGGUAUCUUACCAGAAAGGGACGGCUAACUACGUG
rnacentral:rRNA from 1 species